AGAGAGUGCUCGGCGCCUGGGACUUCGACUCAACCUAAGUACUUUCAAGCGUAGGUGAGCAAAGUUUCAGGUGUUCGAGCACCUUCGCAUUUU
rnacentral:miRNA from 1 species